rnacentral:hammerhead_ribozyme from 1 species
AUCUAGCUGACGAGUCCCGAAUAGGACGAAACGUGCAUCCUGGAU